UACGUAGGGGGCAAGCGUUGUCCGGAAUCAUUGGGCGUAAAGAGCGUGUAGGCGGCCCGAUAAGUCCGCUGUGAAAGUCCAGGGCUCAACCCUGGAAUGCCAGUGGAAACUGUCGGGCUGGAGUCCGGAAGAGGCGAGUGGAAUUCCUGGUGUAGCGGUGAAAUGCGUAGAUAUCGGGAGGAACACCUGUGGCGAAGGCGGCCCCCUGGUUGGAUACUGACGCUGAGACGCGAAAGCGUGGGGAGCAAACAGG
rnacentral:rRNA from 1 species